CUCUGGGCGCAGCGGUUUAUCGAUCUCUUCCUGGCCUUGUUGGUCUGUUUCGUGGUGGUGGGUUUGAUCAGUUUCUUUCUUGCUUUUUGAGGGUACAAAGCUGGAAUCGGUCGAUAAACCUCUGCAUCCAGA
rnacentral:pre_miRNA from 1 species